ensembl:lncRNA
GUGAAAUAAAACCUGAAGCGAUCGUUUGUGAAAGAUCAAAUCAAAUAAAAGGUCACGGUGGAUCCGGAGUCUGUCCCGGGAAUGCUAGGUGUGAGGCGAGGCAGGAAUACACCCUGGUCCGUCGCAGAGCGCCAUUCACACAUACGUUCAUACCGAUCCGCGACUUACAGUCACCAGUUCACCUAAUGACAUGUUUAUGGACAUGUAAAGAACCCGGAGAACCCAGAGAACCUACAAUGACCCGGGGAGAACACGAGGAACUCCACGCAGACGUCUCUGACAGGUCCCCGGUCCGAACGGCGAGAAACAACAGGAACACGCUUCACGUCUAGAAUCGGCUCCCGAGCUUUUGUUGACUUUCUCGUCUGUGAGUUGAUGAUGCAGUAACACGCCGCUGGCUGAGAAACCCCGAGCCGUCCGUCCUCCAAAAUCCCCUACGAUUCAAACGUGUGGACAUAUCGCUAUCGUUUUAUACGGGACUGUCUGGAAAAAAGUCAGGAAACACUGAGCUAAUAUGUCCAGCCGGAUAGAUCGAGAUAUCCAUAUUGAGAAAACGCGUACAGCGUUCAGUGCCCUUCACUAAUAUUGGCACCCUUGCUAAAUAUGAGCAACUUUUUGUCUUUAUUGUUUAACCUUCAAAAAAAGUUCACAAAAAUACUUUGAAAAAAUAAUUAUUUUUUAAAUUUCC